AUUUCAAGGUACAACAUUCAAGAUAAAGAUACAUUUUUUGACAACGGGACUCGCAGUCGAAUUGUACGUGAAAUUUUGAAGCGCACAUAUAGUUCAAAAGCCAAAAACAGCAUGGGUAUUAACACAUUAAUAGCAAAUAAUGUUUAUGAAACAGCUUAUCCUCUACAUGAUG